GACGAACGCUGGCGGCGUGCCUAAUACAUGCAAGUCGAACGCAGUGGGGACGGGUGAGUAACACGUGGGUAACCUCCCAUCAGAGGGGAUAACACUUGGAAAAAGGUGCUAAACCGCUACUGCUGGAUGAACCCGCGGUGCAUUAGCUAGUUGGUGAGGUAACGGCUCACCAAGGCCGCGAUGCAUAGCCGACCAGAGAGGGUGAGCGGCAACACUGGGUCUGUGACACGGGCCAGAGGCCUACGGGAGGCAGCAGUAGGGAAUCGUCGGCAAUGGACGGAAGUCUGACCGAGCAACGCCGCGUGAGGGAAGAAGUGUUGCGGAUCGUAAUACUCUGGUGGUAGAGAAGCGGUAUCUAAUCAGAAAGCCACGGCUAACUACGUGCCAGCCGCCGCGGUAAUUC
rnacentral:rRNA from 1 species